rnacentral:rRNA from 1 species
CAGUCGCCGCGGUAAAACGAAGGGGGCUAGCGUUGUUCGGAAUUACUGGGCGUAAAGCGCACGUAGGCGGAUAUUUAAGUCAGGGGUGGAAUCCCAGAGCUCAACUCUGGAACUGCCUUUGAUACUGGGUAUCUUGAGUAUGGAAGAGGUGAGUGGAAUUCCGAGUGUAGAGGUGAAAUUCGUAGAUAUUCGGAGGAACACCAGUGGCGAAGGCGGCUCACUGGUCCAUUACUGACGCUGAGGUGCGAAAGCGUGGGGAGCAAACAGGAUUAGAUACCCGCGUAGUCCCUGUCUCUUAUAC